AUUGAGUUUCAUUGAGAAAAGAGUCACAUUUCGUACUGUGACAGUUUUUGAGAGAAUUAUUAGAUUUAUUUGAUAUUUAUAAUCAAUAAAAUACUGUUAUAUUUUGUGUUGUGACUAUUUUUUCGGAUAGUUCAAUUAAAAAAGUGUUUUUGUUUUCCCUGAAAUACUAUUGCAUUUUGAGUUGUGUCGGUUUUUUUGAAAACAAACUUGUGACACCUUACCAAUACGCAAUGUCGAGCUCACGAGCACGCAGAAUUAUAUCUCUCGCAUUGGAGAAGAAGCCAGAUAAGAAGCCAGAGCAUAAUGCAUCAGAGCCAAAUCAAGCAUUGAAUUCAGGAUACGAAAUCUUAAAAAUACCUGAAAUACAGUUCGUCGAAGAUUAAAAUGCUGCACCUAAUUUUGACUGUAAUACAAAUUAUAAUACGGCCAAGGAUGCUGACAAUAAUAAACCUUGCACUUCAUUUCCACGUAUUGAGUUUUCACCAGAACUAAAAAACAAUGCUCAAAUGUCGGACUUGGUUAGCGCUAAUGAUGAUGAUUCCGUGAAGGAUCCUAACUAUAAAUCUGAUGAUAGCAGUGAUUCUAGUUCGCCAAGUUCGUCCUCUUCUGGAUCAAGUAGUAGUUCCUGUUCGGGUUGUAGUAAUAAUUCAAGUUGCACUGUUUCUUUAUCGAGUUCAAACGUUGUUGGCCAGGCAUUAGACACUGAAUUCGUUAAUAGUCAAGAGGCAGGUAAUCAAGAACCAGAAAAUCAAGCAAAAAAUACUCAAGUGUCAGAAAUUCAACUUUUAGACUCUCAUACAGCAAACACUUUAGUAGCAAAUAUUCAAAGUGCAAACGUUCAAGAUACAGCUCCUCAAGCAGGAGGUACUCAGGAAGUAAAUACUCAAAUUCUCAAGCCUAAAAAAAGAGGAAAGAAGCGAGUAGCACUGACAUAAGAAUGGUUAAGCAAUAAAGUGAAGAAAUUAUGGAACUCAGGUCAAGCAUACACCUCAAGAUCUAAAUCUCAAACAAAUGUAAAAGCCAGAAGUAUUAGACCUCCUUGUGGUGAUAAAUGCCGGCUGAAAUUCUCUAAUAAAAUAGAUAAAAAUAUAAGACAAGAUAUAUUCGAAAAAUAUUGGGCUCUGAGAGAUAUUAAUAGGCAAAGAAGUUUUAUUCACAAGUGCAUGAAACCCGUCAAACCAGCCUACAGGUAUAGCAGCGCUCAAAAACCUAGAGAACAUAAUAAUGCAUUUUAUUUUUAUGUCAAUGGUGAUCCAGUCCGCGUAUGCAAAUUUUUCUUUAUGGCUACGCUGGAUAUUAAUAACCGAAUUACAAGAACAGUCGUCGACAAAGUUGAAAAAGGGUUCCUAGAAGUAGAUUUAAGAGGUAAACACAAAAGCCAUAAAAAAGUGGAUGCAUCGAUUAAGGAAGGAGUUCGUGAGCAAAUUCGCUCGAUUGCACGUAUUGAGAGUCAUUACUUCGCAAGCAAACUACUAGGGAACACAUUGAUAGUGGAAAAAAUUUAAUGACUACAAACAAAAAUGUCAAGACAAUAAUCUACCUUACGCAAAUAUAGUGAUGUUCUCAAAAAUUUUUAACACUGAAUUUAAUAUAAGUUUUUUCAUCCCCAGAAAAGAUUGUUGCGAAUUGUGCAAUGCUUAUGAAAUUGCUACAGGGGAUGCCAAGAAAAAGUUGGAAAGCAAAUAUUUAUUGCAUUUAGAAGAAAAAGAUUUAUCAAGAAAUGAAAAAAACCAAGAAAAGGAAAAAGCUAGUCCCAAUUACGUGGUGUCAGUUUAUGAUCUGCAACCAGUUCUUCCUGUUCCUCAAGGAACUGCGUCCGUUUUCUAUUACAAAUCAAAAUUGAACUAUUAUAACUUUACUGUGUCU